UGGAGGCCUGCGCGAACUUGGUGCACUGCCGGAUGAUGGUGGGCAGCAGGAACUCCGGAUAGUGCGUCUGGAGCGCCUCCAGCGCCUCCUUC
rnacentral:tRNA from 1 species